rnacentral:lncRNA from 14 species
UCUAACUGGGCAGGACUGUACCAGAUAUAUUCCUGACAAGGAAUAUACAAGGCUUGCACUGAUAGCAACUAAUGAGAGCACUAUCUGUCUUGUUAUUGGUUGCAGCCUCUACCAUGAUCGAUUUUUUACUGGAGUGUGGGUUUGAACAGGAAUUUUAAAUAUGUGGGAAGACCCUUUUCACCCUCAAACAGUCUGAUACUGCCAUCCUUCCUGCAGAGGCAAAAUCAUUGUAUCCUCGUCAGCUCCACUGUCUGCAAGAGUUGGAAGGGGAAAGGUAAUGCAUACAACUGGAAUUUCCAACUGAAAUUUUGAAAUCGAGGUUCUGCGUGUGAUAUGGAA